CCCCCCCCUUUUAUGUUCAAUCCUUAUGCUUUUGCUUUUUCUUGCACACUGGAUCAUCCAAGGCUUCUAAAACCUUGCUGAGUACAAGCAGUGGUAGCAGACCUGGGCUCCUACUUUAAUGGCUCUGCCUCUCCGAUCUCACCAUCAUUUUUACGUUUGCUGUGAGCAUUUGGAAGAUACUCUAUCAGGUUGUGAAGGUCCUUUAUUGCUGGCUCAUGAUGAGUUUUGAUUCAGGCAUAACUGUUGGAUUUUAUAAAGUGUUAUUUCUCUGAAGUGUUGCAGGCCCUUCUAGUGAGAAGCGGAACGUUAACAGUUAUCUGUUGCUGCCCAACGAUAUUCAAACCCAGUAGCUCUGAAUGACGAUAAUUUAUUUUCUCCGCUGUGCAAUUUGGCCUUGGCUAGCUCCUUUGGUCUGGGGCCACUCAUGUCAUUUGGCUGCUGUACCGGCAAGAGAUGAUUCAAGGUGACCUCACUCCCAUUUCUGGCCGUGGGCUGGGCCUGUCAGCCAACGGGUCCCAGUUGUUCUCCGUGCGGCCUCUCCAGGAGGGUGGCCCAGCGUUUUUGCAUCCCGGUGGCAGCAUCCCAUGACGGCUGCCCCUGAGGAGCGUCUCUGCUGGGCACGCUUGCUGUCACCCUGUUGGCCUAAGCAGGUCACAUGACUAGCGCCGGAGCCAAUGUGGGAGGGGCUAGGCCGGCAGGUGCCUCCAGGGGGUGGGCUUCACCGCGGGCGUUGAGACAAAGGUAUCGCACACGCCGUGUUCAGCUUUGGGCUGUGACAGAGGCCGGCGUGUCUAUACACGUUUGGGUCUAGGAGCUGCUUCAUCAGACCCAUGUCCCCACGCGCUCUGUCAUGACCGCCUGUCCCGUGCCUCAUGGCUCUGGAGACACCCAGUAACUUGGCUGCCGGGGGAAGGAAGAAUGUUGUAGACCUUCUUAACUCAGGAGUUUGGCUUCACUACAGGAGGAAACCCCGAGACGCUAAUUUCCUCUGGACCCAACCCCACCUCCUCUUGCAAGCUUUCCCACUGCCUGUGGUGACUCCUUGCCACCAAGGGCAGAGUUAUGGGGACUCCCUUGACCCGGCUCCCUCUCCCCUCCUCCCUGAUGCCUAUGAAGCCGGUGGGGGGGGGGGGGGGGGCGGUGGAGGGGGUUGCAGUCUCUUUAGAGUUUUCUUUAGAAAAGCUAAGGUGCAUAAAAUCAUCCCCUAAUCGCCCAAAGCUUGGCUCUAACCCCCAGCUCUGGCCUUCUGUAAUUUUUAGCAUGCUCGUUAUAGAUCAAGGUUAUACAGCAGAAUGCUUCAGUCCCGAGUGUGGUUGGGUUUAUGUGCUGUUUGGGAAGCGCUGGGUACUCCAGUGAUGAACAGAACGGAGGACACUUAUGAGCAACUGCGGGGUAGUUAACAUGACGGAUGGAGAAGCAUGGGGUGGUGUUUCCGCCUCCGGUCAGGUCACUGAGGAGAAAGGAAGGAGUAAUUAAGAUGGCUGGGUAAUGCUUCUGGAAUAGUUAGCCUCGGCAGGCCGGAGGCAAGUCCGCAGGGGCGGGGGGAGGAGGGGCUGGAGAGUCAGGAAAGGGAGUGAGCUGCUUGGGAGGCGGCUCAUUAACAUGGAAAUGAAGGAAGAGUGAGGCACUGACCUUGAACGGGAGGAGGGAGCUGGACAAGGGCCACCACGGAGAAGGUUAUGGCACUGAGGGAGUCACUUGCAGUCCCUGUGCUCAAACAUCAAGGUGGAACAUGAAUCUGAGCGUCGCCCUUCUCUAGCCCCUCACGUUGACUGAUGACAUUUUCUUGAUCACCAUUCUGCUAAUGGAGGAGGGAAAAUGAAUGUCAGCUCAGUGAGAUUCUACCUCAAAUUAACCUUUGACUCACGGCCCUGGCUGGAAUUGGAUUUUUCCCUCCCCAAAGCUUCGAGCUGAGUCGACGCCUCCCAGAGGAGCUACAGGGACACGGUCUUCUGUCCCUGUCCCAGAAGACUGCUUCUUCCACCAGGAUGGGACAGAAAGAGCUGGAAGGUGGGAUGGCCAGAGAUCGGAUGGCCCAUGACCAUCCUCCGCCUGGGCUCCGCUCUGCUCCCGCUGCCUGGACCAAAGUGCAGUUCCUUCCGAUCCCUGGAUAGAAAAAAACAUGGCUAAUCUGGAGGAACGCGUUUAAAAUGAAAUCCCAGACUGAAAUCCGUCUGCUGCCCCAAUUCUGGUCAGAGUGGAAGAAAAGAGCCACUGAAGGCUGGUUGUCGUGGCUCCAGAGGGAGCACAUGACUGCUGCCGUCUGGCCUUUGCAGAGAGCUGGAGAGUCUCUGUGCCUCAUUCUGCUCCAGAGCAAGCAGUUUUCUCUCCUUUGGUGCCAGAAGUGCUGAUGAGCACAUCUCUCCUCGGUGAGGAAGGGAAAGCUUGGACUGCGGGUUCUUCCGAGGAUCUGAAGCUCUUGGUCCUGGUUAUCUAUUUCCACUUGGUGCUCUGAGAGAUUAGCACUUUUCCUGUGAGCGGAGUGCAAUUUCUGUGAAUUCAAUCAAGAUCGUGGCAAGAUCCUGCAUGCCGCGACUCCUCCAGGGUGGACGCCAGGCUUCUUCAUCUGAGCGUCCUAGUGCCGAGCCCAGGGCAGGCCCUUCUGAAGGCCACGUCUGCCCCCCCGGGCCCUGGCAGCAGGUCGCCCUGGGCUCCCAGUGGAAUGAGCCAGAACCUGCUCACUGGGGUCAGCAGGCCCGGGCUCAGUCACCGGGAGCUACCUCUAGGGUUAAGACCUGUGCUGCCCGCUGGUCCUCUCAAACUAGGUCUCUUCCUGUGCACCGAUGAGAAAAAUCAGGGCUGCAGCCUUCCGGGAUGUACUAAAGAGGAAACAAGAUGGUGUCUGUCACUGCCCUGUAGGGCGCCUGGGACAGAAACAGGCACCCAGCAAAGGUAAGUGGGCUCCCUCCCUUCUGUCUCCCUCCUUUUGUUUCUAGGUUUUCCAUACUCACGAACUGUUCUGUCUCCGGGAGGAGUGAACACAGCACUGGGCUUCGAGAAUGAGCGCCGGGAUUUUCCUGCAGGAUUUGCCUCCUUCCAGCCUCCUCCCUUGGAGCGAAGCCCUCCCGAGAGGCAGCCCAGAGGACUCCUCCAGGACGUGGGGCCUGGCCUCACACUGCGGAGUUGAAGUCUCGCUCUCCAGUGCUUUGCUGGGCGGUCGCACUGCCCCUCUCUCUGUUUCUUCGUCUGUGAUACGAGAAGGACCAUGGUUCCCGUUUCCUUGGGUUGUCGUGGGGAUCAGAGGAGACAGAAGUACCUGUGAAACGCUUGGUGAGACUCCGUAAGGUUGAGCUACUUCUUCAUUUGCAAACUAACGUGGGGAUCAUACUCCCGACCGUGGCCGUGCUGAGAAGACCAGCAGACGGAGUGAAGAGUGUGAACACGCCUUUGGAGUCUGCAGAAUAUGCUAUACAUACAGGAGUCGUUGUUACGCCGCCCUCGGAGCCUUUCCGGUGGCCUCUCGUGGACCAUGUGCUCUUCCAGCGGAAACGACAGCUCCAACUUUGUGUCCCCACGAACUUCUCUUUCAGCGUCUGUAACUCCGAUUGGCCUUUCUGUUCGCACGCCUGACCCCUCACUCGAUUGUACUCUCCUUGUGCUAAAGGAACGCAUCCGGUUCAUUCCCGUACCCCCAGCGCCCAGCCAAGGGUGCGCAAUAAAUGUCCACAGAACGAGGGGCGCCUGGGUGGCUCAGUCGGUGAAGUGUCCGACUUCGGCUCAGGUCAUGAUCUCGCGGUUGGUGAGUUCGAGCCCCGCAUCAGGCUCUCCGCUGUCAGCACAGAGCCUGCUUCGGAUCCUCUGUCUCCCUCUCUCUCUGCCCCUCCCCUCCCCAAAAGUAAAGAAAGAUUAACAAAAAUAUAUCCGCAGAACGAAUCCAGGACUUCAAAGGGACAGAGGUUGACCAGAAAGCCCUUGCCCCUAGCUCUGCUCCUUUAUAAUUUACUGAUAUUUCCCUCUCUUUGGGGAAGAAGGGAAAUCUCAUUAGAUGGUGAACAUGUUAGUCUGGAUAUGGGUACAAACAGCUGUACAACACCCAGCGUUGGCCCGGCUGGGCCGUGAGCAGAGACCCUGAUAUGACGUGAUCUCUGUGGACGCCAAGCUCAGUGCUGAAUGGCACGAGAACUGGCUAGUUUGCCGUCAGAGACGAGGUCCGCUCACCAGGGCCCCUUUGUAAUCAGCGCUGAAAUCUGACCUGCACAGGAGACCCUGUCCUGAGCACGCUUCUCUUCCACGCCCGUGUGUCAAGGUCCAUGGCCUCCACUGAGCUUAAACACACACGUGUGUCUCAGCUCCCUGCCCCGUCAGCUGGAGGCCAAGGGAGCCCCUCUAGAGACUGGACACUGCUGAGAGCCACAGGCAUGGUGGGACCGUCUCCUGGGGGGGGGGCCUCGGUCCGUUCGCCGGGGUCAGUACCACCCUCUUCAAACCCAACUGCUCACUGACCUGCCUUCCAGCUCCUUUGGGCCACCUCGAAGCCACUGAGGCCAAAAUGACAAGCGUAAAGAUCGUAGCUACAAGGGGCUAGGUUAAUAACAACUCUACUGACUUAAUACUACUUGAAUAACCCUUUACUAUCUACAGGCCAUAUUUAUCGCCGGUAUAUCCCCUACACCUCACCACAAAAACCCACGAAGUGCGUAUUUAUUGUUAUUUCCCCCUCUGCGAAGUGGACUUUAUCAGGAUGUUUUGUGGCUUGUCCGCGAUCGCAGAGCCAGCGACGGAAGGUGACGUUUUCCUGCCGUCAAGCUCAGUGGUCUGGACACUGCUCCGCUAAGUUACUGUAAAUGAAUGGCCUACAGGACUUUCCAGAGCAGCUCUGUUUGAGGGUUGUUUAUUGGUGGAAAAACAAAACGGCGUUUCAGGACCAGAUCUUUUGGGGAAACACUCUUCGCACAUAAUGAAAUGAUUUUCUUUACAGUGGGUUCUUUAGAGCCUUUCCCUUGUCCGUCCUCAAGCCGUCCAUGCGACCCUGUGGGACCUAAGCUGGCAGGAGGGCCUCCGAGGUGGCGUGGAAGCUGAGAAGAAUUGCACAGAAGAGGCCGCGGCACAGAAUUGAGCCCCGAAGGGAAACAUACCAGCGUCGUUAACACAUGAAGGUCAAAUCCAGGCUGCUCAGUGUGCAUCCAGAGCUCCUGAGUCGCCGGGCCAAGGCGGACCUCCCCCCUGCUUGGCCUCGGCUGCCGACGGUGCCCAAGAUGCCGGGAGCCGGCUGUUCUCUCUUACUAAAUU